rnacentral:rRNA from 1 species
UACGGAGGGUGCAAGCGUUGUCCGGAAUCACUGGGCGUAAAGGGCGCGUAGGCGGCUCAUGAAGGCUGUGGUGAAAGUCCGGGGCUCAACCUCGGAUCGGCCGUGGCGACUCGUGGGCUGGAGCACUGUAGAGGCGGGUGGAAUUCCGGGUGUAGCGGUGGAAUGCGUAGAGAUCGGGAAGAACACCCGUGGCGAAGGCGGCGUGCUGGGUUGCAACUGACGCUGAGAUGCGAAAGUGUGGGGAGCAAACGGG